rnacentral:rRNA from 1 species
UACAGAGGUCCCAAGCGUUGUUCGGAUUCACUGGGCGUAAAGGGUGCGUAGGUGGUCGGGUAAGUCUGAUGUGAAAUCUUCGAGCUCAACUCGAAAAUGGCAUUGGAUACUAUUCGGCUGGAGGGUUGGAAGGGGGACUGGAAUUCUCGGUGUAGCAGUGAAAUGCGUAGAUAUCGAGAGGAACACCGGUGGCGAAGGCGACUACCUGGCCUGUUCUUGACGCUGAGGCGCGAAAGCUAGGGGAGCAAACGGG